UAACGUAGGUGGCAAGCGUUGUCCGGAAUUAUUGGGCGUAAAGCGCGCGCAGGCGGUCCUUUUAAGUCUGAUGUGAAAAGCCCACGGCUCAACCGUGGAGGGUCAUUGGAAACUGGGGGACUUUGAGUACAGAAGAGAAGAGUGGAAUUCCACGUGUAGCGGUGAAAUGCGUAGAGAAUGUGGAGGAACACCAGUGGCGAAGGCGACUUCCUGGCCUGUUCUUGACGCUGAGGCGCGAAAGCUAGGGGAGCAAAACGGG
rnacentral:rRNA from 1 species